GAAUUGCGAUAAGUAAUGUGAAUUGCAGAAUUCAGUGAAUCAUCGAAUCUUUGAACGCACCUUGCACCCUUUGGUAUUCCGAAGGGUAUGCCCGGUUGAGUAUUAUGAUCAACUCAAACCUCUGGUUUUCUGAUUGCAAAGGCGUAACGACCGACGAAGCCAUCCAUCUGGGGUGACGGUAGUUGGAGUUUCGCUUGGAGCAUCGGAGGUGUUGGACUUGAGCGCACGUCGGUUUGACUUUCGAACCGACCCGCUUGAAAUGAAUUAGCCGACAACCGCCUUUACACGGUUUCACUCGACGUGAUAAGUCUAUUCGUUGAGUGCGUGGAUGGGGCUUCAGGUCGCUUCUAAUCGUCUUUGGACACUUUGUUGAACCUUUAAUCUCAACUCGGGUAGGACUACCCGCUGAACUUAAGCAUAUCAAUAAGCGGAGGAAAAGAAACUAACAAGGAUUCCCCUAGU
rnacentral:rRNA from 1 species